AUCACUUUGCAAUCAUUCUAACGUGCAUUCUUCCGGUAGGUACAGUCUACCGUCUUCAAGAUCAAGACAGCACUCGGCAUGCUGUCCUAGCCACCAUCAGACCACUCAGCAUGCUGUCCCAGCCACCACCAGACCACUCAGCAUGCUGUCCUAGCCACCAUCAGACCACUCAGCAUGCUGUCCUAGCCACCAUCAGACCACUCAGCAUGCUGUCCUAGCCACCAUCAGACCACUCAGCAUGCUGUCCCAGCCACCAUCAGACCACAGGAAGCAAGGAGGCUGCACAAUGCCUACAUUGGUCUAUGCCUCACCUUCACCUCACUCUCGGCCACAUAUGAGGUCCGGCCAACUACAGCCCGUCAAAAGAAGCCAACGAGGACCGGCUCUGUAUUACAUUAAUGAUAUGGUUGGAAAUGGGAACCCCAUUAUUUGUAUCAGUGCAGGUGGAAAUAAUGUUGGAAGAGUUAGGAGUGAGGCACUGAUAGAGGUUAAGAUAACCAUAGAAUUGGUAAAGAGCAAGAGAUCCCGAUCACUACUGUCUUCUGAGCUUGCUUCCUGAUGACUCCUCUCGCCGAUUCACGACUCUAACUUUGAAUUUGAUACUAAAUUUGCUACCUCAAA